UCAUUUGGCUCUGGACACUUGAACAAUCUAGUGUUGGAAAUAUGCAUUGAGCCCUCAGCUGCCAUUCGUUGUUUUAAUAAACUAUCAGCAUCUUCAAUGUGUUGAAGAAGCAAUCUAUCACAUCAGUAUGACCUAGUGUGUUGUCCAGGUGUUUUAAGUGCCA